CCCCCCCCCCCCGACCAUGUCCACCUCCGCCGCCUCGUCGCCUUCCCCCGACCAACCUCCCGCGAACAAGGCGGUCCGCGUGGUGGUCAAGGGCCGGGUCCAGGGCGUGGGCUUCCGCGACUGGACGGCCGAGACGGCGGAGUCCCUCGGCCUCGCCGGCUGGGUCCGCAAUAACCGCCGCGACGGCACCGUGGAGGCCCUCCUCUCUGGAGACCCUGCCAAGGUCGACGAGAUGGUCACCCGCCGCCUCCCCAUCGGCCCUCCUGCUGCCGCCGUCACGGCCGUCGUCACUUCCCCAGCCGACCACAUCCACCCCUCCCUCGGCUUCGAAAUCAAGCUCACCGUCUGAUCGGGUUACGCCGACGUUCGACCGACCACAACCAGCAGGUUCUGCUCGACUUGUGCUCAACUGCCGGUGGUCGUGGCGAGGGACUUGAAGAUUGAAGCACUCUGGCAUUGUUCAGUGUUUACCGGAGGUAAAGUUCGCUAAUAAGACCAGUCGGGAG